UUUGACGCUAUCAUACUUCUGUGAUAUUGCUGAAUUUCUGCUGACAUUUGCCUCACGAUCUGCUCAUCACCAGUUAUUGUCACUAUGUACUCCUACACCCAAGGUUGAAGAUAGGCAGCCCUCUUCUCCCCAGAGAGUUAUAUCACAGAUCAGCCAUCGUCAAAGCGAACCUCUCCAGUUCAUGUGUAUCGUGCCUGUCGUGAACAUGUAUCACUGAAAUGCAAUAAAAUAUGUGGAAACGAAA
rnacentral:lncRNA from 1 species